rnacentral:lncRNA from 15 species
UCUGCGAGAGGCCGGUGAAACUUUGGAGACGCUCACUCAGUCAGUCACUGAGACCGGCACACAAUAAUCCUGAAGCUCCACCUCCCCACCCAGCAGGGUCCUCCUCCUCCUCCUCCUCCUCCUCCUGCAGCCCCACUGUCUCUCUGACUCCUCCUGCUGUCAGUAUGUGCAGCCCAGCGCUGAAUGGAAGACAGACUGGAGAUGAUGUCUGCAGGUGAAAAGCAGCAAUGGAUGGAUGAAAGGAGGAAGAUUGGACGGAGAGGAAACUCCAGAUCUGAUUAAAGCUCAAACAGAGAAACCUUCAGCUAUGUCCAUGACACCUGAAGACCAUGUGAUGUGGCUGAAAGCUCAGGAAAAAGACAGCAAGUGGACCUUUGGUUGGGGUUGUUAUCUCACUAUCUAAAUUAGUUUAAUGAAGAAGAGUCUUUUGCAUUUUAUUUAUUUGAAGGACAUGUGUGUAGGAUUUACUGGCAUCUCAUAUGAGGUUGAUGAGGAUAUCAGGUGAAGUUGUAGAUUGAAGCUAACUGAACACCACUCGCGUCUGUGUUUGACGACCUGGGAAUGAGAACGAGCUGUGGGGUGUGUGGGAGGAACAGGAUAAUUAUGCAAACAAUAAAAGUUCUGUGACCGUCCGAAAGCUUCAUAUCUGAGAGAAAUCAGCAGAAUCUCAUCCUGCUGACGUAAAUUCUUCAGAAAAUAAGAAAAUGAAAUACUGAGGAUCUUCUGGCAGAAACUGCUUUUGUUCAUCCAAGUUGUUAAGAAGGAUCAUUUUUCACAUUUGCUACUGAAGUUGCCCAGUAGUUUGUGGAUCCCUGAGUUCACUGGAGAUACUGAGGGAGGUUUAUAUCAAACAUUUACACAAUAGUGAUGAUGACUGCACAGAUGAGAUGAGUCACAGUUUGUUUUUUUUAAUCCAUCAUCCUGCCGAACAUUUCAUCACGUUGCUGCAGGGGAGCCAGCAAGCUUUGUUUUUGCCCUAAAAUAUGAAUUCUCCUUUCAGAUCUGAUGACAGACAUUUGACCUAAUUUAAAUUUCACAAAAAGCCUGUGACUGUGUGUGUGUGCGCGCUCAGAUAAUGCGCUAUAUGGUUUAGUGUUAACAUUCUAGCUGUAUGUUUAUGCCGUCAUGCGUGUGUGUGUCUGGUUUUCCCCUCGCCUUACUGAGCAUACAGAACGACCCCUGACCCCGCUGGUUUGGGUCGCCAUACGCCUGUCCUGUCAUUGGGAUUUAGCGCCCCCUGCUGCUGGCUGACAGGAGACCAGUUCUGACCCACAACCACGAAUGCAAUCACAGCUCACAGUCCACAUUUUCCCACAACUGCAUUAAGAAAAGGGCAGAGCAGGAGGAUGAGUGGAAGGUGAGUUUAUUGACAUCUUAGGAUCCUGAACACUUAUAUAAAACGGAGUCUUCUGAGCCUUUGAUGAUAUUCACGGUUUUAGUGUGAACCCUUUGUAUUCAAACGCUCUGGGCUUGUUUUGAGCUCAUGCAACACUAAUAACCACAAUGUUGCAUGUGGUUUUGCGAUCCUGUGACUAUCAGCAGCUCGUUUAAGAGGGAGAACACAAUCUGAGCCAGCCACAGGAAAAUAAAAAGUGUAAGGGUGCAUUAGAAGGAGGAGACAGAUGUUUGAUAUCUCAACCUCAGAAAGCUGAGGUCUGCACUAAUGCUUAUUUUCACAUAAUUCUGCAGGCGUUCUCAUAAAAAGUCCAUCAAGGCUGAGUGUUGGUGCACUUGGGUGUGAUCUGGCACCAGAACCCGUAUAUGGCUGCCAGAUUUGGGAGGUUUUGAUGGCGCUGACUUGCACAUUGAGCUGAGGGUUACUGUAGAUCCAGCUCACAUUACUUGGAACAAAUGUGACCUUAUUUUAACCUGACUUUAACCUGGAAGUCAUCGUUGGAAACUCUUUCCAAAAAUACCCAGCAGGUGAUUGGAUGAACUAUCAGUCAAUCACAACAAAACGUAGUCAAACUCUUAGUAAAAUCAGAAAACAUCAAGAAAAGCCUUCAGUGCUGUUCUUUGCUCUUCUUUCAAUGAACAAAUUCUCUCCAGUUCUGAUAUAGCCGAUGCUAGCAGCACUUACGCUAGCAGCCGCCAUUGUUGUUUAACGAACAGUAUCUUCUCACUGCGUCACACCUAGAGCCCACCCUCACACUGCCAGUAUUAACUCAAAGAGCCGGUACCACUGUACCAACCGCAAACACAAUUCAGGUAUAUCUCCAGCACCAAGCAUGAUGACUUUAGGCCCGGCUACCUGAAUUCAUCCUCAUGUAGGAUUUAUUGGUUGUACCUUGUUUUGAGUACUUUCCAAAAUGAAGAUGUUGAGUAACUGAAAAAAGGGAAGUAAUGUAAAUAUGGUUCUCCAAGGCAAUCGAACUGUGUUAAUUAAACAGUCCUUUUGUGUCAAAGGGUUUAGUCAAAGGUCCUUCUGAAAAACAUCCUAACAUUGAAAAUGUCACAACAAACAAGCCAACAGCAGCAGGGUGUGCUAGGUAACACGGGGUGCUUCUCAGGCUCAUAAUCUGUCCCAACUGUCCAAUAAAGAAACUAAUUGUGAAUGGCUUUGCUUAAAAACCCUGCGUGACAUGUUAAGUAGGCAACAAGAAGCAACCAAGCUUUUCUCGAUGAAAAUGAUCGAAGUCAUUCGCUCUUCUCCCGACUGAAUUCAGUAAGAGUUAGACUACGUUUUAUGGUUCUUUGAUCUGACAGUCUGUGCCUGCCUUUUUGCAAUGGUUCAGUGUAACAAACCAUCUGGCGCAGUCAUGACAUCUAAAAACCUCUCAGUUUUCCACCAUAUUUAUCUUCGUUUUAUCCUGCAAAUUAUCAGAUCAAUGCUGGGAAAUUAAACACAUAGAAAACAUUGGCUUUGGUUGAUUUUCUCUAAAUUAAUACACAGCAGUGAUUGUGGACGUCCAAGUAAGUGCCUAAAGUUUUGGCGUUUUGUCGCCUCUUCUUGAUGUAUCCUCACAGCUGUGGAUUUACUAACUCCUCCCAAUCAUUUGUCUCUGAGGUGUCCUCCACCUGUUAUCACACUCCACAGGUCACCUGUCUGGACAAUGUCACCUCAGUGACCCUUGACCUCUAAUUCCCGACCGCUGACAGAGGUUAAGUAACACUCACUCCCUGUACCCAUGGUCUUAAAGCCCCUAGGAGUUCUCAGUCAGGGUCAAACUGGAUAUAGUGAGAGGAAUGGGUUCAGCCCACCUUUUCAAACGCACAAUAAUGCAGCUCCACCUCUGGUCUCGACCUUUUGUGUCAAGGAUUUUUGGGAGUUGACAUGUUGGUGUUGAGUUUGAGAGGAAGGCUGAUCCUUCUGUUGAGUGAGGAGUUGCGGCUGAACCACUGUUGGAUAACUCUGGAUGUUCCAGUCUGUUUACGAC